rnacentral:rRNA from 1 species
GAUGAACGCUGGCGGCGUGCCUAAUACAUGCAAGUCGAGCGAACAGACGAGGAGCUUGCUCCUCUGACGUUAGCGGCGGACGGGUGAGUCACACGUGUAUCCCCUACCUAUCAGUCUGGGAUCUCUUCGGGAAACCGGCGCUAAUACCGGAUAAUAUAUUGCACCGCAUGGUUCGAUGGUGAGAGACGGUUUUGCUGUCUCUUAUCGCUGGUUCCGGGCCGCAUUAGCUAGUUGUUAAGGUAACGGCUUACCACGGGAACGAUGCGUAGCCGACCGGAGAGGGUGAUCGGCCACACUGGAGCUGAGACACGGUCCAGACUCCUACGGGAGGCAGCAGUAGGGAAUCGUCCGCAAUGGGCGGAAGCCUGACGGAGCAAGGCCGCGUGAGAUAUGAAGGUCUUCGGAGCGUAAAACUCUGUUAUUAGGGAAGAACAAAUGUGUAAGUAAAUAUGCACGUCUUGACGGUACCUAAUCAGAAAGCCACGGCUAACUACGUG